UUCAAAACCAUAUCUGGUUUGCCCCAAAGAAUUGGAGAUACCAAACAUCCCGCUUUAUGAGAUGUUCAAAUAUAAAAUAAAAGUGAGCGAUGCACACCGAGCUUGGAUGAAAAAUCCUGAAGAGCUGAAGCAUUGCUCAACGGGUUUCGAUUUCCCUUCCCAGUCUGGAGAAACCGUUCAGGAAAAGGUGUCAUCGCUAAAGUUGUUGCAUUUUUAUAGUGCUGAUGAAUAGAGCCAUGCACCAAGAUCCUCCGAAACUUGCAAGUGAAUUCGAUCCAGAUGGUAGCACGUAGAUCAACCUCGUACCAAUUGUUUGGAACCCUUUGUAGAGGUAAGCAAAACUUGAUGAAAUGAGGCAUAUUACCU